rnacentral:rRNA from 2 species
UGCGCAGGCGGUUUGUUAAGCGAGAUGUGAAAGCCCUGGGCUCAACCUAGGAAUAGCAUUUCGAACUGGCGAACUAGAGUCUUGUAGAGGGGGGUAGAAUUCCAGGUGUAGCGGUGAAAUGCGUAGAGAUCUGGAGGAAUACCGGUGGCGAAGGCGGCCCCCUGGACAAAGACUGACGCUCAUGCACGAAAGCGUGGGGAGCAAACA